rnacentral:rRNA from 1 species
UACGGGGGGAGCAAGCGUUGUUCGGAUUUAUUGGGCGUAAAGGGCGCGUAGGCGGCGUGACAAGUCACUUGUGAAAUCUCCGGGCUUAACCCGGAGCGGUCAAGUGAUACUGUCGUGCUAGAGUGCGGAAGGGGCUACUGGAAUUCUCGGUGUAGCGGUGAAAUGCGUAGAUAUCGAGAGGAACACCUGCGGCGAAGGCGGGUAGCUGGGCCGACACUGACGCUGAUGCGCGAAAGCCAGGGGAGCGAACGGG